UGGGAAACAGGAAGCAGCUUUUUGUGCUGCUUCAAGAGUCCUUCCUCUAAGGCCCGGGGCCUGAAGGCAGUUUACAAAGGAGGACAGCUGAGAUUCAGAGAGGUUUACUAACUUGCUGAAGAUUACACAGCUCCAAAAUGGUAGAGGAAGGACUCAACUUGAAGGCCUCAGGAUCCUAAUGUCUCAGCCUUCUGGUGAACACAAGCCCAUCAGAACAGAGCUGGGCCUUCACUAGUCUGGACGAUCAGCUGCUCAGAGCCUUGCAUACAGUGGGAGGCUGAGGAAUGUUCUUUCUAGAAGAAUGUGAUGCCUCGUGCAAAGCUGGUGCUCAAAAUAUAUGAUUAUGGAUGGAUAGGUCAACAAAGACAUAAACAGCAACAACCCUGGCUGCUCGGCCCUUUUGCUCUCGUCAUUGGCUUCUUUUUCCAGAGCAUGCAUCUUCUAAUAGGUCUAACCCCAACAGUGAUCAAAUGGGACCUCUGUUCUAUUCCUUUCUUAACUGUAAUCAUGAGUUUCACACGGCUGUCAUUUUACUGCCUGCUAGGAAAAGGGAAUAUGUUUGAAUUUUAUAAGUUUCUGAAUUUCAUAAUUUUUUUAUUUUUAGAGGUGCUCCAGGCUGACUCCAUACCUCCCACUGAAUGACAAUUGUUCUAAAGGUAGACAUUCUUAUUUCAUCAUCAAGAAAAGCACUCUGUAGUGAACAAGGGCACUCACGCAAUUGGAUUCAUGGAGAGAUGUUUGUUUUUCUCCCACUUGUUUACUGUUGCUGGUGUUAGAUCAAGUCUGGCCUUUACUAUUCCAUUAAAAAAUGACCAUUUGUGAUUAGAUAUUUACAAAAAUAUAUUCAGAAUGAUAUAUUUCAGAUAUUACAUUUUUUCUAACAGUUCGUUUUAGUUUUGAAUAGAAGCCUUAAAAUACUUGGCCAGGUGCGGUGGCUCACGCCUGUAAUCCCAGCACUUUGGGAGGCCGAG
rnacentral:lncRNA from 1 species